AACAGCACUAGGGCAUCACGGAAAGUUUUCGUUACUUCUCGGCUCUGCUAGUGGAAUGAAGAAGGUUAUGAGAACACGUCUGAUAUUUUCUAUUAUUGUGUUUUUAUUUACUACCGGACAUAUCCUGCCAGUUAUUCAUUCCUAGACGAUACUCCAAAGCAGUUUUAUUUAUUUCGAAUGUAUAAAAUUCUGCAUAUAAUUGUUGUUAAAAAGUUGUGUAUAUAGCAUGGAGUUAUCUGAUACAAGGAUAGUAUUGUCAAGGAGUAUUUGAAUUUAUUUCAUCCCAUCUGCAUCAUGGGCAAUAAAUUUUCAUGUUGUGCAUGUCAUAGCCCCAUUUUUGACAGGAAAGCAAACCCAGAAGGAGGCCAAAGAAUUUAUUUCCAGGAUGAGAGCAUAUCCAAUCUGCAACACAUUAGUGAAAGGGAGCCAGAAGAAGCUGAAAAUAUUGGAUCAUCCAAAGUUGGGGAGACUAGCAAGAUGUGGUUUUCACAGAAAUCCACAGGACAUGAGAUUUUUUAAUGAUGAGAUAUUUUGCAGCCAGAAUAGUUCUUCCCCCCAAUGACAGGUGGCUCUGUUGUAUCAGAAUUUCAUAAAAUGGUUCGACUCAGCUACAAAAACCUCAACUUCUAAAAUCCAACUCAACAAGGAUUACAGUUGUUUAGUACAACAGCCUUCAUUCAUGAGUGUGGUUGUCAGAUGCAGCUUGAUGCUGUGUAAAGUGUUGCGAAAGUUGCGCUGCGCUAUUGCACAAGUUUCUGUCAAUCGAAACACCACCUGUCUGUAAAAAGUUUAA